UACAGAGGGGGCAAGCGUUGUUCGGAAUUACUGGGCGUAAAGGGCGCGUAGGCGGCCUGUUAAGUCGGGUGUGAAAGCUUGGGGCUUAACUCCAGGUCUGCAUUCGAUACGGGCUGGCUAGAGGUAGGUAGGGGAGAACGGAAUUCCUGGUGUAGCGGUGAAAUGCGCAGAUAUCAGGAGGAACACCGGUGGCGAAGGCGGUUCUCUGGGCCUUACCUGACGCUGAGGAGCGAAAGCGUGGGGAGCGAACAGG
rnacentral:rRNA from 1 species